UGGGGAAUAUUGCACAAUGGGCGAAAGCCUGAUGCAGCAACGCCGCGUGAGGGACGACGGCCUUCGGGUUGUAAACCUCUUUUAGCAAGGAAGAAGCGAAAGUGACGGUACUUGCAGAAAAAGCGCCGGCUAACUACGUGCCAGCAGCCGCGGUAAUACGUAGGGCGCAAGCGUUAUCCGGAAUUAUUGGGCGUAAAGAGCUCGUAGGCGGUUUGUCGCGUCUGCUGUGAAAACCCGAGGCUCAACCUCGGGCCUGCAGUGGGUACGGGCAGACUAGAGUGCGGUAGGGGAGAUUGGAACUCCUGGUGUAGCGGUGGAAUGCGCAGAUAUCAGGAAGAACACCGAUGGCGAAGGCAGAUCUCUGGGCCGUAACUGACGCUGAGGAGCGAAAGGGUGGGGAGCAAACAGGCUUAGAUACCCUGGUAGUCCACCCCGUAAACGUUGGAACUAGUUGUGGGUCCAUUCCACGGAUUCCGUGACGCAGCUAACGCAUUAAGUUCCCCGCCUGGGGAGUACGGCCGCAAGGCUAAAACUUGAAAUGAAUUGACGGGGUCAUAGCUGUUUCCU
rnacentral:rRNA from 1 species